AUGAGGCAAGAGUGAGUUAUUGGAAUGAGUCUUAGCAGUGUGAGCACAGAGAAGCUUACAUUUGGACCGGGGACGACUCUCACAGUUGUGCCAAAAUUUCCAAAAUCUUCCAUCCCUCAAGUCAUUGUGAUGAAAUCCAAGAACCUGCAAGAAGGUGGUGGCCCUGGGAAAGCAGCUUGUUUGGCAAGGAACUUCGUCACAAAGAGCAUCAGCUUGGAGAUGCCCUCUAAGGAGGUCGUGUAUGAACAGAGCACCUCCAUUCUGACAUCAGAGGGGUACAAUGCAAUUAAAGUGGUCAACGUGACAAGAGACACAGUCGUGAACUGCACGGCCAAAUUCGACAACAGCGCAAUAACAAAGCCAGCAGAGGAGGUUGAAGAACCAGUGGCAGGGGCCAGUAAGAGGGUUUGCAACAGCACAGAGCCCUCAGCACCAGAUGCUGAAGGGCAGAGAGUGAACAUGCUGUCCAUGGCUGUGUUGGGUUUGAGAGUCCUGCUGGCAAAGAGCAUCGCCUUCAACACCCUCCUGAGUAUCAAGUUGUUCCUUCUCUGAGUCAUGGGGAAUGAAGGCAAGAGGAGCCCGAGGAAGAGCAGGAAAGAACGUGAACCAGCAGCACAAGGGGCUGGAACAAGCAGGGCCAGAGCAGCUGACAGAGACCACCCAGGACACAAGGCAGCACCUUCCCCUGAAGACAUUGAACACUGGUCACUCCUGCCUGGCCAGCUGAUUUACACUGAAGAGUUUUAAGUGCUUUUGCUGUUUGCUCUCCUCUGAGACCUGACGGGAGUGCAUUUAUCCUCAUCCUCCUGCUAAGCAAUGUCCCCAUUCUCGUGGCAUUUGCACACAAGUGUCCCAGCUGCUUCAAUAGCUUUGAGAACUCCAAUGCUCUCUCUAGGUACGUGGCCUUUCAAAAGCACCUUUCCCAGGCAUGUUGUGGUACUGCCUGUGCAACUGCAGUAGUACUGCUGAGGGAAUUCAAGCCCAGCAGUUGCCAUUUGGAGCUUUGGCUUUUAGAUGGAUUUCAUAAGUGAGUACCGUAGAUGAGAAGAGCUGUGUAGGAUGGGAAGUGAUGUCAUUCAACCCCCUAAUGUUCAUUUCUUUACAAAGCCUGUAUUUCUUCUGCCAGAUGUAUCGUAUGAGCA